GGCACUUUGGCCGAGUGGUCUAAGGCGCCGUGUUCAGGUACUUCCACCUCAGGAUGGUGUCUCUCUUCGCGGUCUAGUAAUAGGCGAGGGUUCGAAUCCCUCAGGUGUCA